rnacentral:rRNA from 1 species
AUUGAACGCUGGCGGCAGGCCUAACGCAUGCAAGUCGAGCGGAUGAAGAGAGCUUGCUCUCUGAUUUAGCGGCGGACGGGUGAGUAAUGCCUAGGAAUCUGCCUGGUAGUGGGGGAUAACGUUCCGAAAGGAACGCUAAUACCGCGUACGUCCUACGGGAGAAAGCAGGGGACCUUCGGGCCUUGCGCUAUCAGAUGAGCCUAGGUCGGAUUAGCUAGUUGGUGAGGUAAUGGCUCACCAAGGCGACGAUCCGUAACUGGUCUGAGAGGAUGAUCAGUCACACUGGAACUGAGACACGGUCCAGACUCCUACGGGAGGCAGCAGUGGGGAAUAUUGGACAAUGGGCGAAAGCCUGAUCCAGCCAUGCCGCGUGUGUGAAGAAGGUCUUCGGAUUGUAAAGCACUUUAAGUUGGGAGGAAGGGCAUUAACCUAAUACGUUAGUGUUUUGGCGUUACCGACAGAAUAAGCACCGGCUAACUUCGUGCCAGCAGCCGCCGUAACAC